AACGAACGCUGGCGGCAUGCCUAACACAUGCAAGUCGAACGUGAUCCGGGGCUUCGGUUCCGGUGGAAGUGGCGGACGGGGGAGUAACGCGUGGGAACCUGCCCAGUGGUAGGGGAUAACCGCGGGAAACUGAGGCUAAUACCCUAUGUGCCCUGCGGGGCAAAGAUUCAUGGCCAUUGGAGGGGCCCGCGUCGGAUUAGGUAGUUGGUGGGGUAACGGCCUACCAAGCCAUCGAUCCGUAGCUGGUCUGAGAGGAUGAUCAGCCACACUGGGACUGAGACACGGCCCAGACUCCUACGGGAGGCAGCAGUGGGGAGUAUUGGACAAUGGGGGCAACCCUGAUCCAGCAAUGCCGCGUGAGUGAUGAAGGCCUUAGGGUUGUAAAGCUCUUUCGGCGGGGAAGAUGAUGACGGUACCCGCAGAAGAAGCCCCGGCUAACUUCGUGCCAGCAGCCGCCGUAAUAC
rnacentral:rRNA from 1 species